rnacentral:rRNA from 1 species
GAGUGAAAUAGAACCUGAAACCGUGUGCUUACAAGUAGUCAGAGCCCGUUAAUGGGUGAUGGCGUGCCUUUUGUAGAAUGAACCGGCGAGUUACGAUUUGAUGCAAGGUUAAGCAGUAAAUGUGGAGCCGUAGCGAAAGCGAGUCUGAAUAGGGCGUUUAGUAUUUGGUCGUAGACCCGAAACCAGGUGAUCUACCCUUGGUCAGGUUGAAGUUCAGGUAACACUGAAUGGAGGACCGAACCGACUUACGUUGAAAAGUGAGCGGAUGAACUGAGGGUAGCGGAGAAAUUCCAAUCGAACCUGGAGAUAGCUGGUUCUCUCCGAAAUAGCUUUAGGGCUAGCCUCAAGUGAUGAUUAUUGGAGGUAGAGCACUGUUUGGACGAGGGGCCCCUCUCGGGUUACCGAAUUCAGACAAACUCCGAAUGCCAAUUAAUUUAACUUGGGAGUCAGAACAUGGGUGAUAAGGUCCGUGUUCGAAAGGGAAACAGCCCAGACCACCAGCUAAGGUCCCAAAAUAUAUGUUAAGUGGAAAAGGAUGUGGCGUUGCCCAGACAACUAGGAUGUUGGCUUAGAAGCAGCCAUCAUUUAAAGAGUGCGUAAUAGCUCACUAGUCGAGUGACACUGCGCCGAAAAUGUACCGGGGCUAAACAUAUUACCGAAGCUGUGGAUUGUCCUUUGGACAAUGGUAGGAGAGCGUUCUAAGGGCGUUGAAGCAUGAUCGUAAGGACAUGUGGAGCGCUUAGAAGUGAGAAUGCCGGUGUGAGUAGCGAAAGACGGGUGAGAAUCCCGUCCACCGAUUGACUAAGGUUUCCAGAGGAAGGCUCGUCCGCUCUGGGUUAGUCGGGUCCUAAGCUGAGGCCGACAGGCGUAGGCGAUGGAUAACAGGUUGAUAUUCCUGUACCACCUAUAAUCGUUUUAAUCGAUGGGGGGACGCAGUAGGAUAGGCGAAGCGUGCGAUUGGAUUGCACGUCUAAGCAGUAAGGCUGAGUAUUAGGCAAAUCCGGUACUCGUUAAGGCUGA